CUUGGUCAUUUAGAGGAAGUAAAAGUCGUACCAAGGUCUCCGUAGGUGAACCUGCGGAAGGGAUCAUUA
rnacentral:rRNA from 1 species